AAGUGUUUGUGCUGGGGUGUGGCCGGGAAGGAGAGAACCUGUCAUUGGAGUGUUGAGAAAAAGAUUCAAGGUCACUUCUGCAUUCUUCCAAACAACCUCUCCUCUCUGGCACAUGGCAGAUGUGGGCCUUUGGGUUUUGGCAAAGGCGAGAAAAUCGGGAAUUCAGCACAAAAGCGGUCCAGCUUUUGAGGGAGAGAGAAGAUGAAGGAGGCUCGAUUUCAUAGGGAGGCUGCCAAGGGUGAGGCUGAUGAGAAAAAGGAAAGAAGGGGACUCAGGAGGAGCUGCCUGUGAGACACAAGAGUUCACUGGAGCUCAGGAGUCUCACACGGGUCCCAGGCAGCAGCAGGAUCCAAGGAUACACCAGCCACACUAAAACCCCAGAGUGCUGUUGCUCAGAAAUCUCCAGCCUGACUCCAGCCCAGCGGUGCUCAGCCUUCCUAACGCUGUGACCAUUUCAUACAGUUCCUCUUGUUGUGGUGAUCAGCCCUGACCUCUUUGUCCUUUACUAAUAAGGAGACAUGAUGCAGAAAGACAACAUACAGUAUCGGUGAGCUCAGCAACCAGCAAGAAAAAAAAAAAAAAAAAAAAAAAAAAACACAGAAACUUCAAAUUGCUACACAAGGGCACACAAUGAAGAACAUUACUUUCAGCAUCAAAAACAAGGGACCACUGUGAUCUUGAGAAAUAAAACAUCGUGGUUCCUAUCGUCAAGUCUGAUUUGGUUUCAAGCCAGCCUACAGCACAGGCAAAGAAGGCUCCCAAAAUGGAGAUGGAGUUUGUCAAAGUCACAGAGUUCUGGACCUGGACCUGAAAGCUUUUCCUACCCUCAGGAGGGGCCACAGUCUCUC